rnacentral:rRNA from 1 species
GGAAAAUUCCCCACUGCCACAGUAAGAGCUUGCUCUUAUGGGUGGCGAGUGGCGGACGGGUGAGGAAUACAUCGGAAUCUACCUUUUCGUGGGGGAUAACGUAGGGAAACUUACGCUAAUACCGCAUACGACCUUCGGGUGAAAGCAGGGGACCUUCGGGCCUUGCGCGGAUAGAUGAGCCGAUGUCGGAUUAGCUAGUUGGCGGGGUAAAGGCCCACCAAGGCGACGAUCCGUAGCUGGUCUGAGAGGAUGAUCAGCCACACUGGAACUGAGACACGGUCCAGACUCCUACGGGAGGCAGCAGUGGGGAAUAUUGGACAAUGGGCGCAAGCCUGAUCCAGCCAUACCGCGUGGGUGAAGAAGGCCUUCGGGUUGUAAAGCCCUUUUGUUGGGAAAGAAUAGCAGUCGAUUAAUACUCGGUUGU